GGCUUAGUAGUGUAGUGGUUAUCACACCAGAUUCUGACCAGCUUCACUCUUUUGAGAAUAUGUGAAUUCUGGUAACCCAGGUUCGAAUCCUGGCUAGGCCU